rnacentral:rRNA from 1 species
GACGAACGCUGGCGGCGUGCUUAACACAUACAAGUCGAACGGAAAGGCCCUGCUUUUGUGGGGUGCUCGAGUGGCGAACGGGUGAGUAACACGUGAGUAACCUGCCCUUGACUUUGGGAUAACUUCAGGAAACUGGGGCUAAUACCGGAUAGGAGCUCCUGCUGCAUGGUGGGGGUUGGAAAGUUUCGGCGGUUGGGGAUGGACUCACGGCUUAUCAGCUUGUUGGUGGGGUAGUGGCUUACCAAGGCUUUGACGGGUAGCCGGCCUGAGAGGGUGACCGGCUACAUUGGGACUGAGAUACGGCCCAGACUCCUACGGGAGGCAGCAGUGGGGAAUAUUGCACAAUGGGCGGAAGCCUGAUGCAGCAACGCCGCGUGCGGGAUGACGGCCUUCGGGUUGUAAACCGCUUUCGCCUGUGACGAAGCGUGAGUGACGGUAAUGGGUAAAGAAGCACCGGCUAACUACGUG